GGAAUAAAGGGACAAUCUGGCUGUGACAGCUCCUGUCAAUUCAACUGUUGACCAGAGUUGAUUUGGCGAUCUGGCUGCUAGGUGGGUGUCUCCUUCCUCCCUCACCACUCCAUGUGUGUCCCUGCCCCAAAGCUGCCACACUCAGUGCUAAAGACGACCAUCCCUAAUAGAGGGACUGGUCUUCAUCAAGGGUUUACAAGUAGCUGCACUUCUUCUGCUAGAACCUCCAAAUAAAAAGCUUCAAACUAUAUGUAUUGAUUUUGUUUUUUUUUUUUUUUGAGAACGGAGUUUCGCUCUUGUUACCCAGGCUGGAGUUGCAAAUGGCGCGAAGGUCUUGGCUCACCGCAAACCUCCACCUCCU
rnacentral:snRNA from 1 species